AACAAAGAAGUAAAAUUACAUUUAAUUUCGACUUAAAUUAAGGAUAAAAUCCCAUGUUU
rnacentral:tRNA from 1 species